rnacentral:rRNA from 1 species
CCUACGGGUGGCAGCAGUGGGGAAUUUUGCGCAAUGCUCGUAAGAGUGACGCAGCGACGCCGCGUGAGGGACGAAGGCCUUCGGAUCGUAAAGUUCUGUCGACAGGGAAGAAAAGUCACUGUAGUAACUGUGUGUGUAUUGACGGUACCUGUAUAAGCAGCACCGGCUAACUCCGUGCCAGCAGCCGCGGUAAUACGGAGGGGGCGAGCGUUGUUCGGAGUGACUGGGCGUAAAGCGCACGUAGGCGGUGUUGUAAGUCAUUAGUGAAAGACUAGCGCUCAACGUUGGUAAGGCUGGUGAGACUAUAAUACGAGAGUGUGAGAGAGGAUUGCAGAAUUCCUGGUGUAGGGGUGAAAUGCGUAGAUAUCAGGAGGAGUACCAGUAGCGAAGGCGGCAAUCUGGC